rnacentral:sRNA from 1 species
GCAGGGUGUUGUGGCGCACGCCUGUAAUCUUAGCAGCUUGGGAAGCUGAGGCAGAGGAUUGAGAGUUCAAAGCCGGCCUUAGCAAAAGCAAGGCUCUAAGCAAUUCAGUGAGACUCUGUCUCUA